CAGUGACCGGGUCGGUUGGCCUGUUAAUUGAUGCUUGUGCGGUUUUAUCCGUGGCCGGCAGAUGUACGUGUGUAAGCACGCGCAGACGCUGGACUAGUGAUAAGACCACCUUGUGGACGUUUACAGGUGUGUGCUUUGUCUACGGGCUUAGUAUCCUGAUCGACCAUCAAAACGGUCAAACUGGAACUGGUACGGAC
rnacentral:rRNA from 1 species